rnacentral:rRNA from 1 species
UACGGGGGGAGCAAGCGUUGUUCGGAUUUACUGGGCGUAAAGGGCGCGUAGGCGGCCACCGCAAGUCACUUGUGAAAUCUCCGGGCUUAACCCGGAAAGGUCAACUGAUACUGCGGGGCUAGAGUGCAGAAGGGGCAACUGGAAUUCUCGGUGUAGCGGUGAAAUGCGUAGAUAUCAAGUGGAACACCAGUGGCGAAGGCGAGUCCCUGGACAACUCCUGACACUGAGGCACGAAAGCUAGGGGAGCAAACAGG